AUGGGAGUGACUUGGAUCAUCAGGUCACUGCAGGGAAGACAGUGGUCCUGGAAAGCAGCUGAAAUCCCACAGGACUUUGGUGGGGAUGGCAGUGAUGAGCUGGAGGAAGAGCAGGCUUUAAUGGUGCCGCUAACGUUGCCUUUCCUUAAAAUGACUCGCAAUGCUCACAGACAUUCAGACCCCGGCGCUUAGAUCACGUCUCCGGCUUGGAACUCCCGCUGGUUUAGAAUCUCACUGCUGGGAAGCAUCACCUGUUCCUGGACCCGAAAGGCAGUGUGGUCAAGUGGUUACAGACUCAAGCCAGAGGUGAGACAGCCCUGGGUUCCAUUCCUACUUCUGUCACACUUACUGACUGGUGACCGUUGGCAAAUUUCAUCACCCCUCCGAGCCUCCGUUUACUCACCUGCAAAGUGUUUCCACUUUGUCAUUCAUUUAUUCCUUCACUGGAAAGUUAACAAGAGUUCACUGAAAACUUGCUAUGUGCUUUGAUCUCAGAAAGGUUCUGGCAUUCAUUGAGCUUCAAGUCUAGUGGGAGAACAGAGAUAAUAUAUCUGCGAACACAUAAAUAAGAGAGAUAAUUGUAGAUCGUGAUAUAGGCUGAGUAAGAUUUAAAACCAAGGUUGUCCUCUCUGAUGAGAAGCCAGUCUAGCUGGCCACAGAAAGAGGAGAAAGAGCCAGCCGCUUACAUAUCAGAAGGAAAGGCCCUCCAGGCAGGGGCAUGGCAAGAGCAAAGUCCUAGGCAGCUCUAAGAUUAGAAUCCUUGCAGCUGGCGCUUUAUAAAAGGAGGUACAAGGUAAGGCCAAAUGAGAAGGAGAGACCAGAUCAGAAGGGUUCUAUAGGAUAAGGCAGGAGUGUGCGUUAUAAUAAAACUAACCUUCCAGAGUUGUUGUAAGGAUUGAAGAGAAUAUCGAGUGGCAAACUCUAAAGCAGUUGCUUAAAAAAAAAAAGUCAGCUUUUACUUUCAACAAGAUAACUGUAGUAGAACUCAUCGUCUCUCAGGUGUAGUUGCUGACAUCAUAGAAUGAUUGAAUUUCAGAACUGAGAGAUCAUUUUUCCUAAUUAUUCUACUUUUUCAUAUGGGUGAAUUAAGGAUCAGAGAGGGCAAGGGACUUAUGGAUGUCACACAGGAGUUAGCGGGGGAUGCUCUGGGCUUUUUAAUUUCCACUCACUAUCCAUU
rnacentral:lncRNA from 1 species